rnacentral:rRNA from 1 species
AGGACGAACGCUGGCGGCGUGCUUAACACAUGCAAGUCGAGCGGAAAGGCCCUUCGGGGUACUCGAGCGGCGAACGGGUGAGUAACACGUGAGCAACCUGCCCCUGGCUCUGGGAUAGCCUCCGGAAACGGGGAUUAAUACCGGACAUUCUCCUUCUUCCGCAUGGUUGAGGGUGGAAAGUUUUUCGGCCGGGGAGGGGCUCGCGGCCUAUCAGCUUGUUGGCGGGUAACGGCCCACCAAGGCGACGACGGGUAG